rnacentral:rRNA from 1 species
CCUACGGGAGGCAGCAGUGGGGAAUAUUGGGCAAUGGAGGAAACUCUGACCCAGCGACGCCGCGUGCGGGAUGAAGGCCUUCGGGUUGUAAACCGCUUUCAGCAGGGAAGAAGCGAAAGUGACGGUACCUGCAGAAGAAGCACCGGCUAACUAUGUGCCAGCAGCCGCGGUAAUACAUAGGGUGCAAGCGUUGUCCGGAAUUAUUGGGCGUAAAGAGCUCGUAGGUGGUUCGUCACGUCGGAUGUGAAAAUCUGGGGCUUAACCCCAGACCUGCAUUCGAUACGGGCGAGCUUGAGUAUGGUAGGGGAGUCUGGAAUUCCUGGUGUAGCGGUGGAAUGCGCAGAUAUCAGGAGGAACACCAAUGGCGAAGGCAGGACUCUGGGCCAUUACUGACACUGAGGAGCGAAAGCGUGGGGAGCGAACAGGAUUAGAUACCCUGGUAGUCCACGCCGUAAACGGUGGGCACUAGUUGUGGGGGCCUUCCACGGUCUCUGCGACGCNGCUACGCAUAAGUAGCCCCGCCGUCGGGAGGUACGAGUCGCGAAGAAUUAAACUACAAAUAGAAGUUAGUACGGCGUGAGACGUCGCCGACGGACGACGACGAGGGAGGAGG